rnacentral:rRNA from 1 species
AUAUAGGCAGACAAGAGACAACCUAGUGAACUGAAACAUCUUAGUAGCUAGAGGAAAAAAAAGCAAAAGCGAUUCCCUGAGUAGUGGCGAGCGAAACGGGAACAGCCUAAACCGUUAUAAUAAGCGGGGUUGUGGGGAAGUAUUCUAACUUGACAGAAGCUAGGUGAAACAGGUAAGUUGUUAAAACGGCUAAAUACUGUACCCUAGAUGGUGAAAGUCCAGUAGCUGAAAGUUUCGUCAACUUUUACUUUAACCCGAGUAGCAUGAGACACGUGAAAUCUUGUGUGAAUCAGCGAGGACCACCUCGUAAGGCUAAAUACUCCUGGGUGACCGAUAGCGAAGUAGUACCGUGAGGGAAAGGUGAAAAGAACCCCCGUUGGGGAGUGAAAUAGAACAUGAAACCGUAAGCCUACAAGCAGUGGGAGGAGAAUAAAAUCUCUGACCGCGUGCCUGUUGAAGAAUGAGCCGGCGACUUAUAAGCAGUGGCCUGGUUAAGAGUAUACCGAAGCCAUAGCGAAAGCGAGUCAUACCAUGGCGCAGUCACUGUUUAUAGACCCGAACCCGGGUGAUCUAUCCAUGGCCAGGGUGAAGCUUGGAUGAAACUAAGUGGAGGUCCGAACCGACUGGUGUUGAAAAACCAGCGGAUGAGCUGUGGUUAGCGGUGAAAUGCCACUCGAACUCGGAGCUAGCUGGUUCUCCCCGAAAUGCGUUGAGGCGCAGCGGUUGACUGGACUGUUUAGGGGUAAAGCACUGUUUCGGUGCGGGCUGUGUAAACGGUACCAAAUUGAGGCAAACUCUGAAUACUAGACACGACCAGCAGUCAGCCAGUGAGACGAUGGGGGAUAAGCUCCAUCGUCAAAAGGGAAACAGCCCAGAUCACCAGCUAAGGCCCCUAAAUGGCCGCUCAGUGAUAAAGGAUGUGGGAGCGCAAAGACACCCAGGAGGUUUGCCUAGAAGCAGCUACCCUUGAAAGAGUGCGUAAUAGCUCACUGAUUGAGCGCUCUUGCGCCGAAGAUGAACGGGACUAAGUGGUCUGCCGAAGCUGUGAGAUGUCUAAAUAAAAAACAUCGGUAGGGGAGCGUUCCGCGCUAGGCAGAAGCAUUAGUGUAAGCAGGUGUGGACGAAGCGGAAGUGAGAAUGUCGGCUUGAGUAACGCAAACAUUGGUGAGAAUCCAAUGCCCCGAAAACCCAAGGAUUCCUUCGCAAGGUUCGUCCGCGGAGGGUGAGUCAGGACCUAAGACCAAGCCAAAUGGUGUAAUCGAUGGACAACAGAUUAAUAUUUUUGUACUGUUUUUGUAUUGCUAAAGAGGGACGGAGAAGGCUAAGGAUAACCAAAUGCUGGUUAUUGGUUGAAAGGAAAUAAACAUCCGAAGGAAAUACACAUAUGAUGGAAAUAAACAUCAAAAAAAAAUAAACAUCCGAAGGAAAUAAACAUCCGAAGGAAAUAAACAUCCAAUGGAAAUAAACAUCCGAAGAAAUAAACAUCCGAAGGAAAUAAACAUCCAAUGGAAAUAAACAUCCUAUAUUAUCUACGCCAUACUUCCAAGAAAAGCUCAAAUAUAGCGAAUAAGCAAAAACACCUGUACCUGAAACCGACACAGGUGGGUAGGUAGAGAAUACCUAGGGGCGCGAGAUAACUCUCUCUAAGGAACUCGGCAAGAUAGCCCUGUAACUUCGGGAGAAGGGGUGCCUUUUUUAAAAAGGCCGCAGUGACCAGGCCCAGGCGACUGUUUACCAAAAACACAGGUCUCCGCAAAGUCGAGAGACGACGUAUGGGGGCUGACGCCUGCCCAGUGCUAGAAGGUUAAGGAAGUUAGUGACAUGAUAAAGUGAAAGCUGGCAACCGAAGCCCUGGUGAACGGCGGCCGUAACUAUGACGGUCCUAAGGUAGCGAAAUUCCUUGUCGGGUAGUUCCGACCCGCACGAAAGGCGUAACGAUCUGGGCACUGUCUCGGAGAGAGACUCGGUGAAAUAGACUUGUCCGUGAAGAUGCGGACUACCUGCACCUGGACAGAAAGACCCUAUGAAGCUUUACUGUUUCCUGGGAUUGAGUUUGAGUCCCUCUUGCGCAGUUUAGGUGGGAGGCAGAGAGAAUAUUCUUCUGGGAAUGUUGGAGCCAUCAAUGAGACACCACCCUAGAGGGACUAGAAUUCUAACCUUAACCUAUAAGAAGGUCGAGCAACAUUCCCAGGUAGACAGUUUCUAUGGGGCGUAGGCCUCCUAAAGAGUAACGGAGGCGUGCAAAGGUUUCCUCAGGCUGGACGGAAAUCAGUCUUCGAGUGCAAAGGCAGAAGGGAGCUUGACUGCAAGACCUACACGUCGAGCAGGGACGAAAGUCGGCCUUAGUGAUCCGACGGUACCGAGUGGAAGGGCCGUCGCUCAACGGAUAAAAGUUACUCUAGGGAU